GCCCAGAUCGCUCAGCAUGGCCAAUGAUGUGCAGUUAGCUCAUCUAUUCCAGAAAGAGCGCCGGACUCAUAAUCCGGAGAUCGCCAGUUCAAAUCUGGCUCUGGGCACCA
rnacentral:tRNA from 1 species